AAGCGAACCUGCCCUAAGGGAAUAUUUGCACCGGUGACAGGUACUUGGAUUUUGCAUAUGAUGGUUGAAGAUGGUUGAUAGUAAAUUAGUUGAGUUUUUAUUUUAUAAGACUUUGUUAGCUUUAAAAAUCAAUGAUUUGUUAGUAUUAAGUUAGCAUUGGAUUCAAUACUUUUACAUUAGUAUUGUAUUUGUACUUUUGUGAUGAUGGGAUGAAUUGUGAUGAUAUGGUGAAUGAAUUGGAUAUUUUGGAUGUAAAA